AUUUUUACUUAGGUAAGAUCUUUAUUAGGGAACUAGGGAGGGAAAGCUGUGGGGUUUGGGGUUUAUUUGCUUGUGAUUAUUUAUUAGUAUCUUCCUGAGGAAACUUUCUUCUUUGCUCAUGGUUGACAACAGAGGGCAAAAAUGAAGGCAAAAUGUGGCCUAAUGCUGCCAGUUGGCCGAAAUUUUCAUUUGUGCAGAUUCUCUAGUUUUCUUCUUUUCCUAGUGUCCUCUAGCCCACUAGGUGACACUGUUUACUCAUCUAUGGUACUCCAUUUAGGACUUUCCACAAAUCAUAUUUAAAAGUAGAUGUUUUGUUUGGGGUGCUGGGGAGGGGGAAAGCGUGUUGAGAAGGAAAAUAUAAAUGAACCAGCAGUGGCUAAACUUUGAGGUACAAUUAGGGGCCAAUUGUCAUCUAUGGUUAUGUGACAUUAUGGGCUAGUUUCAAACUAUCUUUUAAGGAAUUUUAAGAGCAACAUGCAAUUAGUUUCCAAUUCUAUUCCAAGAAAUGAAGGAAAAUUGACUUCCCCUUCCCAAGCCGUCACCAAACCAAAGGAUAAAAUAAACUGUUGUAGCUUUGAAUGUAGAGUUGAGUAGAUGCUCUUGAAUGACUGUUUCCACCUCAUUCUUCAAUGAUAGUUAAUGAGGGCACAGACCACUAAUAAGCAGUGGAAGCAGCUUCUAGGCUAAGCUUAAAUUGGGCCUUCAAAUCUAAUCAAAAUUAGUCACUGCUGAGAAGAAACCAAAUGUGGUGUGUCCAUUUGGAUGUGGAGUUUGGAGAGGCCCUCCUUGUUUUCCAGGUUGUGAGCCACAGGAAGCGUGUCAACCAUGUCAAACCAGAAGAUCAAGAAAUCAAAGAUUCCAUUCGCUUGCCUUAGAGUUUGAGGAAAGAAGAUGCAACAAAGCAAGACUCCUUCCUCCAUGGAAUGUGCUGAUUUCAGACGAGGCGGCAGCCAAUGUGGAAAACGCUGGAAUUUUUCCUUGGAACUGGACUGUGAUGAGAGGUGCUUGCCAUGAACAUAGCUACUGUCUUUUCUUUGACCUUCCUUUCCAGUUUUUGAAGAUAAAGCAAGAAACAAUCUUCUCUGAAGAUACUUGAUAAAAAUUCCCCCCCCAAAAACAAAAACACAUGCUUCCAUUUCAUUGAUAAAAAUGAAUGGGUCUAGUUCAGCAGGGGGAAGAGCUGAUUGAUGCGUUUGCCCCAAUAGCCAGAUAUGCCCAUCCCCUUGAGGAUGCUCACUCUAUUUUUGGUAGCAUGGCAGGCCACUGAGAGGUGGAAAGGGUGCAAG
rnacentral:lncRNA from 1 species